GCCGGCUUAGCUCAGUUGGUAGAGCGCGAGUUUUGUAAACUCGAUGUCGCGGGUUCGAUUCCUGCAGCCGGCACCA
rnacentral:tRNA from 1 species